rnacentral:rRNA from 1 species
GACGGCGUGCCUUUUGAAGAAUGAGCCUGCGAGUUUGCGGUGUGUUGCGAGGUUAACCCGUGUGGGGAAGCCGUAGCGAAAGCGAGUCCGAAUAGGGCGAUUCAGUAGCGCGCUCAAGACCCGAAGCUAAGUGAUCUAUCCAUGGGCAGGUUGAAGCGUCGGUAAGACUACGUGGAUGACCGAACCCACUUAGGUUGAAAACUGAGGGGAUGACCUGUGGAUAGGGGUGAAAGGCCAAUCAAACUGGGAAAUAGCUCGUACUCCCCGAAAUGCUUUUAGGAGCAGCGUGGUGGUUGAGUCUGACAGAGGUAGAGCUACCGAUAGGACUAGGGGGUGUCACAGCCUACCGAAUCC